GAGAAUUUGACAGUAAGACAGACACGAGAUCAUAAUUUUACGAUAUUGUGUACGCGUACUAAUGUUUUAUACAGUAACAGUGAGGACCAAGUGAUAAUACUGGAUACAAUUUUGAUCAUGUUGCUGGAUUGAUAGAUAUAAAUAUUUUUCACGCAUUCUUUAGAUCUCAAGAUCUUAAACUUCAAACGCGUUGGGCUGAACAUUUUGACGCUGUUCAUCUUGCUAGCAGUUGUAGAAUCUAGUCGUGAAAUAACAGGUAAUUCGAAGCGUUAGCUUUCUUCCAUAUAUUUAAGAGUUAUAUUAGUUAUCUUCCAUAUAUUUUUA